AUGCAGGCUGCAGGUUGCAGCGCCGGGGACAGCGCCGGGGACAGCGGCGGGGCUCGCUCCUUCCCUCCCUCCCCGCCCUCUCGGGCGCCCCGAGCCCCCGCCCUGGGGUCGCAGGGGCGGAGAUGGGCACCUGGAUCGGUGGGGCGGGAGGGCGGGCGGGGGGGCGACAUACUAACCCUCGAAGGCAGCGCGAAGGAGGCCGGAGGGGAAGAUGCUGCGGACUGGGGCGGACCCCACCGCCGAGCUCCGAAUUUGAACUCGCCUGCGAACCACCCCUGGGCGCCCCCAAACGCGCCACACCGCCCGCGGGGGUGGGGUCCCCUCAACGGCGCCCGGUCCCUAAAUCCUCCGCCCUCUGCACCCCUCGGGGAUGCCCAACCGCAACCUUCCCGUCGGGACCGCAGAUCCAGGGGCGGCCCGGGCGCGGGGGCGGGGGACCGGGUCCCGGAGGCGGCCACGGCCGGCCCCGCGGGAGGCACCGGCGCGCAAACUCGCGGUUCGGAAUCCGCUUGCUUCCCGGGUCGGGGUUUUCCCCCAGGUGAGGCGGGGGCGCGGGGACAGCGGGGAAGGAGCGUUUCUGCUUUUCGCUCGGCUUCUCCGGGGCCCCCGAACUCCGAGAGGCGCAGGCACCGGGAGAAGAAAGGAAGCGGAGGGGGAGCCACUUACCCAGAGCGGAGCCCGAGAGCGCGGCGGCCCCGGCGCAGGCGGCGCCUUUGUCUGAGGUCGCGGCGCCGGCGCGCUCGGCCAGGCAGGUCCCGGCCCCGGCGCGCGGCGAGCUCCCGCGGGCGUCCGGACUGCGCGGCUCGCGGCUCCCGCCCCCCGCCCCGCGCCCCGGCUCCGGCUCCGGCUCCGGCUCCGCUCCCGCCCCCGCCCCCGCCCCGCGCUCGCCGCAGCCGCCGCCGCCGCCGCCGCCGCCGGCUCCGCCCCGCGCCGGCCCCGCCCCCGGGCCCCCACCUGCUGCGGCCGCCGGGGAGCCGAGCGUGGGGAGCCGCGCGUGGGGAGCCCUGCGUGGGGGGCCUGCCGCCUCCCCGCGCACCCCGCCCCCGCCUCCCCGCCGCCCGCGACCCCUACAGAGACGGCCUCACCCGAGGGCCCGGCGCCCGCAAGCAGGGGAGCCGCCGUGGGGGGCGGGGGGCGGGGGGCGGCCUCCCUGCCCGGGCCGGGCGCGCGUCGUCGGGGCCCCGUCACCUUGGAAGGCGGCCCCCACUUUGCCCGGGAGAGGGGAGCCGUCGGGCUCCGGCCAGGAGGGAGGGGGCUGCGGGAAGCAGGGUCUCCCUAACCCCGGCUGAAGCCCGGCCUCCCAGCGGGGUCAGCCCCUGGCCGGUGAGGGCGCAGGGAGGGGGGCGGGGGGGUUGGGGCCGCAGCCCGGCCGCGGGAGCGGGACCCGGGGCCUCGGAAGGGGCGCGGGGGGAGGGGCGGGCUCGGGUGCAGCGCCGGCCACCUGGGCUGUGCGGGCUCGCUCGCUGGGCGGGAGGGGGGAGGGGGAGGGGGGAGUAG
rnacentral:lncRNA from 1 species